GACGAACGCUGGCGGCGUGCUUAACACAUGCAAGUCGAACGGAAAGGCCCUGCUUUUGUGGGGUGCUCGAGUGGCGAACGGGUGAGUAACACGUGAGUAACCUGCCCUUGACUUUGGGAUAACUUCAGGAAACUGGGGCUAAUACCGGAUAGGAGCUCCUGCUGCAUGGUGGGGGUUGGAAAGUUUCGGCGGUUGGGGAUGGACUCGCGGCUUAUCAGCUUGUUGGUGGGGUAGUGGCUUACCAAGGCUUUGACGGGUAGCCGGCCUGUGAGGGUGACCGGCCACAUUGGGACUGAGAUACGGCCCAGACUCCUACGGGAGGCAGCAGUGGGGAAUAUUGCACAAUGGGCGGAAGCCUGAUGCAGCAACGCCGCGUGCGGGAUGACGGCCUGCGGGUUGUAAACCGCUUUCGCCUGUGACGAAGCGUGAGUGACGGUAAUGGAUAAAGAAGCACCGGCUAACUACGUG
rnacentral:rRNA from 1 species